UACGUAGGGUGCGAGCGUUGUCCGGAAUUACUGGGCGUAAAGAGCUCGUAGGUGGUUUGUCGCGUUGUUCGUGAAAUCUCACGGCUUAACUGUGAGCGUGCGGGCGAUACGGGCAGACUAGAGUACUGCAGGGGAGACUGGAAUUCCUGGUGUAGCGGUGGAAUGCGCAGAUAUCAGGAGGAACACCGGUGGCGAAGGCGGUGCUCUGGGCCGGAACUGACGCUGAGGAGCGAAAGCGUGGGGAGCAAACAGG
rnacentral:rRNA from 1 species